rnacentral:rRNA from 1 species
ACGGAGGGUGCAAGCGUUAAUCGGAAUUACUGGGCGUAAAGCGUGCGUAGGCGGAUAUGUAAGUCAGAUGUGAAAUGCCCCGGCUCAACCUGGGAACUGCAUUUGAAACUACAUGUCUAGAGUGUGGGAGAGGAGGAUGGAAUUCCCCGUGUAGCGGUGAAAUGCGUAGAUAUGUGGAGGAACACCAGUGGCGAAGGCGGUACUCUGGCCGACUACUGACGCUGAGGCGCGAGAGCAUGGGGAGCAAACAG